AGUGCAUAUGGUGAAUGCCUUGGCGAUUACAGGCGAUGAAGGACGUGGUAGUCUGCGAAAUUUUUCGGGGAGCUGGCAAACAAGCUUUGAUCCGGAAGUGUCCGAAUGGGGAAACCCACCCGCAAGGGUAUCCAUCUCUGAAUUCAUAGGAGAUGUGAAGCAAACCGAGUGAACUGAAACAUCUUAGUAACUCGAGGAAAAGAAAUCAACCGAGAUUCCGGUAGUAGUGGCGAGCGAAACCGGAACAGCCUGUUAUUUUUAGCACACGCGUUAAUAGAACGGAAUGGAAAGUCCGGCCGUAGAGGGUGAUAGUCCCGUAUAUGAAAGCCCGUGUGUGGAACUAGGAUAACGAUAAGUAGGACGGGACACGUGAAAUCUUGUCUGAAUAUGGGGGGACCAUCCUCCAAGGCUAAAUACUCGUAAUCGACCGAUAGUGAACUAGUACCGUGAGGGAAAGGUGAAAAGAACCCCGGGAGGGGAGUGAAAUAGAUUCUGAAACCGUAUGCAUACAAACAGUAGGAGCCCUUCGGGGUGACUGCGUACCUUUUGUAUAAUGGGUCAGCGACUUACAUUCAGUAGCAAGCUUAACCGAUAGGGAAGGCGUAGCGAAAGCGAGUCCUAAUAGGGCGUCCUAGUUACUGGGUGUAGACCCGAAACCAAGUGAUCUAUCCAUGGCCAGGAUGAAGGUGCCGUAACAGGUACUGGAGGUCCGAACCCACAAAUGUUGAAAAAUUUGGGGAUGAGCUGUGGAUAGGGGUGAAAGGCUAAUCAAACUUGGAGAUAGCUGGUUCUCUCCGAAAACUAUUUAGGUAGUACCUCGUAUCUUACUCUCGGGGGUAGAGCACUGUUAUGGCUAGGGGGUCCUUAAGGACUUACCAAACCAUUGCAAACUCCGAAUACCGAGAAGUACAAUUACGGGAGACAGACAGCGGGUGCUAACGUCCGUUGUCGAGAGGGAAACAACCCAGACCGCCAGCUAAGGUCCCAAAUAUAUGCUAAGUGGUAAACGAAGUGAGAAGGCCCAGACAGCCAGGAGGUUGGCUUAGAAGCAGCCACCCUUUAAAGAAAGCGUAAUAGCUCACUGGUCGAGUCGUCUCGCGCGGAAGAUGUAACGGGGCUAAGCAUAUAACCGAAGCUGCGGAUGCAUAUUUAUAUGCAUGGUAGGAGAGCGUUCUGUAAGUCUGUGAAGGUGUUCUGUGAGGAAUGCUGGAGAUAUCAGAAGUGCGAAUGCUGACAUGAGUAGCGAUAAAGGGAGUGAAAGGCUCCCUCGCCGAAAGCCCAAGGUUUCCUGCGCAACGUUCAUCGGCGCAGGGUGAGUCGGCCCCUAAGGUGAGGCAGAAAUGCGUAGCCGAUGGGAAACAGGUUAAUAUUCCUGUACCUCAAUUUAAUGCGAUGUGGGGACGGAGAAGGUUAGGUCAGCCAGGUGUUGGAUAUCCUGGUUCAAGCAUGUAGAUAGAUUUCUUAGGUAAAUCCGGGAAGUCAAUAUCAAGAUGUGUUAACGAGUGAACUUUUGUUCAUGAAGUGAUUGAUACCACGCUUCCAAGAAAAGCCACUAAGCUUCAGUUAGAUUGAGACCGUACCGCAAACCAACACAGGUGGGCAGGAUGAGAAUUCUAAGGCGCUUGAGAGAACUCUGGAGAAGGAACUCGGCAAAUUUGUACCGUAACUUCGGGAUAAGGUACGCCCCAGUAGGUUGUAGCAUUUUACAUGCGAAGGCCGAUGGGGUUGCAGUGAAAUGGUGGCUGCGACUGUUUAUUAAAAACACAGCACUGUGCAAACACGAAAGUGGACGUAUACGGUGUGACUCCUGCCCGGUGCCGGAAGGUUAAUUGAUGGGGUGCAAGCUCUUGAUAGAAGCCCCGGUAAACGGCGGCCGUAACUAUAACGGUCCUAAGGUAGCGAAAUUCCUUGUCGGGUAAGUUCCGACCUGCACGAAUGGAGUAACGAUGGCCACACUGUCUCCUCUAGAGACUCAGCGAAGUUGAAAUGGUUGUGAAGAUGCAAUCUACCCGCGGUUAGACGGAAAGACCCCAUGAACCUUUACUAUAGCUUUACAUUGGACUUUGAUAACAUCUGUGUAGGAUAGGUGGGAGACUUUGAAGCAGGAUCGCUAGAUCUUGUGGAGUCACCCUUGAAAUACCACCCUGAUGUUGUUGAGGUUCUAACCCAGGUCCCUUAUCGGGAUCGGGAACCGUGUAUGGUGGGUAGUUUGACUGGGGCGGUCUCCUCCCAAAGAGUAACGGAGGAGCGCGA
rnacentral:rRNA from 1 species